rnacentral:rRNA from 1 species
AUUGAACGCUGGCGGCAUGCCUUACACAUGCAAGUCGAACGGCAGCACGGGAGCAAUCCUGGUGGCGAGUGGCGAACGGGUGAGUAAUAUAUCGGAACGUGCCCAGUCGUGGGGGAUAACGUAGCGAAAGCUACGCUAAUACCGCAUACGAUCUAUGGAUGAAAGCGGGGGAUCGCAGGACCUCGCGCGAUUGGAGCGGCCGAUAUCAGAUUAGGUAGUUGGUGGGGUAAAAGCCUACCAAGCCUUCGAUCUGUAGCUGGUCUGAGAGGACGACCAGCCACACUGGAACUGAGACACGGUCCAGACUCCUACGGGAGGCAGCAGUGGGGAAUUUUGGACAAUGGGCGCAAGCCUGAUCCAGCCAUGCCGCGUGAGUGAAGAAGGCCU